UGGGGAAUAUUGCGCAAUGGGGGCAACCCUGACGCAGCCAUGCCGCGUGAAUGAAGAAGGCCUUCGGGUUGUAAAGUUCUUUCGGUGACGAGGAAGGCGUGAUGUUUAAUAGGCAUCACGAUUGACGUUAAUCACAGAAGAAGCACCGGCUAACUCCGUGCCAGCAGCCGCGGUAAUACGGAGGGUGCGAGCGUUAAUCGGAAUAACUGGGCGUAAAGGGCACGCAGGCGGCUAUUUAUGUGAGGUGUGAAAUCCCCGGGCUUAACCUGGGAAUUGCAUUUCAGACUGGGUAGCUAGAGUACUUUAGGGAGGGGUAGAAUUCCACGUGUAGCGGUGAAAUGCGUAGAGAUGUGGAGGAAUACCGAAGGCGAAGGCAGCCCCUUGGGAAUGUACUGACGCUCAUGUGCGAAAGCGUGGGGAGCAAACAGGAUUAGAUACCCUGGUAGUCCACGCUGUAAACGCUGUCGAUUUGGGGAUUGGGCCUUGAGCUUGGUGCCCGAAGCUAACGUGAUAAAUCGACCGCCUGGGGAGUACGNANNGGCAAGGUUUAA
rnacentral:rRNA from 1 species